UCCCUCUUAGCUCAGUUGGUAGAGCGCGUCACUAGUACUUUCGCGGUCUAUGACGAGGUCAGUCGUUCAAAUCGGCUAGCGGGAA